CCUACGGGGGGCUGCAGUGAGGAAUAUUGGGCAAUGGAGGAAACUCUGACCCAGCAACGCCGCGUGAAGGAUGAAGGUUUUCGGAUUGUAAACUUCUGUUCUAUGGGAAAAAACAAAUGAUGGUACCAUAGGAGAAAGCCACGGCUAACUACGUGCCAGCAGCCGCGGUAAUACGUAGGUGGCGAGCGUUGUUCGGAAUGACUGGGCGUAAAGGGAGCGUAGGUUGUUUUUUAAGUUAAAUGUGAAAGCCCGGGGCUCAACUCCGGAAAGCCAUUUAAUACUGGAAAACUAGAGUGCAGGAGGGGUGAGCGGAAUUUCUAGUGUAGCGGUGGAAUGCGUAGAUAUUAGGAAGAACACCAGAGGCGAAGGCGGCUCACUGGACUGUUACUGACACUGAGGCUCGAAAGCGUGGGGAGCAAACAGGAUUAGAUACCCGGGUAGUC
rnacentral:rRNA from 1 species